CCGCCGAACCCGUCCCCGUGCCCAAGCCUUGAGACGCUGUCUUCUCCUCUUUCGUAACCAGCGCUGCAAUCGCGACGGUUUCAUCUUCCUCACGAUUAAAGCUGUGGCUGAGGGUUUUGCUCUCCUUGUUCCUCUUCUCCCUGAUCCUCGCUGCCCAAUCUCCUUCGCCCUCUCCUUUCUUUUGGCACCGUCACAGACCAUCAUCGCCCUCUUCCUCGUGGUCCUCGCGAUUUCUUCUCUCUACAUCGCCUCCGACCACCGCAGGCUGAUGCUAGGUCGUCGCCGCCCUGAUGUCACCGCCAGUGCCCUAGUUUCUGUCGGAGAGAGAGAGAGAGAGAGAGCUGUUGGUUGGUGAUUCCUGGGUAGCGGUAGUAGCAAUACUGUCUGGCUACCAAUCUCCAGUAGCUGCUUGCCCUGGCUGUGGGUACUUGGGGAUGACGACAGCCCUAGCUCCAGCCAAAAUCUUUCAGCAGCAAAAGGUUCCUUUCCAUUUCCAGAACUUUUGCUGCUGGAUUUGAGCCUUGUCACCCUUGCGCACCACUACUGGCAACUGUAAGCUAUUACCAGAGAGGAAUGAAGCCAAGUUAGCUUCUCUGGAUUUCGACAGUAAAUUCUUCAAGAUUAGAGCAGCGCUGAGGCAUCAGAAAAUUUGGGAUUCAGAUUCAAGAUGAGCACAUCGACAUAGAGGUUGAUUAGCUCGAUCUACAUUAGAGGGAAGUAAUCUAGACCGUUGAUCAAGAUCCAUGAUCAAGGCAUCAAGGAGAUCCAAAGAAGUAAAGCCUCCAAUUCAAAACCCACUUUUAAAGCCCAAACUUGAAGCCGAAUGUCAAAGCCCAAUUUCAAUUCUUAUUGCAUCCGGAUCCGAAUCUCACUCAAACAUUUCAACCCGAAAUCCAAGACCCAAACCCGUUGAGAAACCCCUCUUUCCCCGCACGGCACAGUGUCGAACUCUCUUCUUCUCCGUGAUUUCUUCUCCGCGGCAGCUAGGGCACAACGUGCCUUUCUCUUCUCCUUCCUUUUCUCCGGCCGGCGGCUUCAUUUCAUCUCUUCACCGCCGCCGGCCGGUCCUCCACACCCAACCUCCUCUUCUCCAAUCUGCUCCAAGCGGCGACGGCAGCAACUCAACGAUUCCUUUGGGCGGACAACGGCGUGAAUCUAGGGCUUCUUGACGGUGAGGCAUUCUUCUCCGGCAAGCACUCUUCUUCAUACCUUCCUCAGAGGAGGGACUUCUGUGGACGGCGUUCCGGAAGCAGGAAACUUCACAGAGGAAGUCGGCUGCCCUUUUCUUCUUCUCCGUUGAAUUUCUCCUUCUUCCAUCAUUGAGCAGUGCUGUGGACUUUCGUUGACGGUGUUCCGAAGAUUGGCAUGAUUCCAGCAAUCUCAGUGUGUCCAAUUCCGAGAGAAGCAAGCUCCAUUUCAAAUUGUGUAUCAAUUUCCAGUAAUGAUCAGGGGCAGUAGUUGAGUUUGCUGUUCACCGGUGCCGGUGUUCCAGAUCCGGGCCCUUUGUGUGACAGCGAAGGGUAGUUGACUUGGUGUAUGAUCGUGGAGGAUUAGAUUGGUUAACUAGGAUUUAUUUGUUGUUCUUGUUUAAUUUUGUAGUUAAGUUCUUAUGCUUGUUUAAUGUGUAGUUGUUAGCUUAAUUUCAUGUUAGAUCUUCUUAUGAUGCAUGUUAAUUAGUUUUGGUACUUUGUUUAGUUCA